rnacentral:rRNA from 1 species
AGAGUUGAUCAUGGCUCAGGACGAACGCUGGCGGUGUGCCUCAUACAUGCAAGUCGAACGAUAAGGUCCUUCGGGAAUACAUAAGUGGCGGACGGGUGAGUACAACAUAGGAAAUCCGCCCUAAAGCGGGGGGACAACAGAGGGAAACUUCUGCUAAUACCCCAUAUGAGCUUGGUUGAAAUACCAAUCUUGAAAGAUUUAUCACUUUAGGAUGAGCCUGUGCCUGAUUAGCUAGUUGGUGGUGUAAUGGACUACCAAGGCGACGAUCAGUAGCUGGUUUGAGAGGAUGAUCAGCCACAAUGGGACUGAGACACGGCCCAUACUCCUACGGGAGGCAGCAGUAGGGAAUUUUGCGCAAUGGGGGAAACCCUGAACCGCAGCAACACCGCGUGAAUGUUAAGCCCUUCGGGGUGUAAAGUUCUGUCAGUAGGGAAGAACAAAUGACUGUACCUACAAAGGAAGCACCGGCUAACUCCGUGCCAGCAGCAGC